GAUUUCUGGUUUAAUGCACCUGGCCCGCAGCCCUCAAGGCUUGUGAGUGCCGGCGCGCGUUUACCAUCCUUCUAGAAAUCAACUCUGCCAUUUACUUGGUGGGGUUGCAAUUCUAGAUCAUUUACUUUGAAAAAAUUAGAGUGUUUAAAGCAGGCUUUUGCUAUGAAUACAUUAGCAUGGAAUAAUAAUCUAGGACUUCGGUUCUAUUUUGUUGGUUUCUAUAACUGAAGUAAUGAUUGAUAGGGACAGUUGGGGGUGCUAGUAUUGGCCGGCCAGAGGUGAAAUUCUUGGAUUCGGUCAAGACUAACUUAUGCGAAAGCAUU
rnacentral:rRNA from 1 species